rnacentral:lncRNA from 1 species
UAUUCAAUACAUUUAUAAGGUUUCCGUCCUGCAUGAAUUCUCUGAUGACUUCUAAGACUGCUUUUUGCAGUAAAGCAUUUGUCACAUUCAAUACAUUUGUAAGGUUUGUCUCCUGUAUGAAUUCUCAUAUGAAUAACAAGACUGCAUUUUUGAGUAAAGCAUUUGUGACACUCACUACAUUCAUAAGGUUUCUCUCCCGUAUGAAUUCGUUGAUGACUUCUAAGAUUGGAAUUCUUGAUAAAAGACAUGUCACAUUCACUACAUUUGUAAGGUUUGUCUCCUGUGUGAAUUCUCUGAUGAACUGUAAGUUGGUAUUUCUGGGGAAAGCAUUUCUCACAUUCAUUACAUUUGUAAGGUUUCUCUCCUGUGUGACUUCUCUGAUGUUUUCUAAUUUGCGAGUA